rnacentral:lncRNA from 1 species
CGAAGCUCCUUAGUGAGGAGCUGCCAUGCUGGGCCAUCCACCAUCUGGAUUCCUACGACUCAGGGAAUAGAACACUGCACCUUCCAGAAGCACUUGUUUCUUCGUGGGUACACCACCAGCUGAGAAAGAAGCCUCAUGAUGAUUGUUGUCUUAUGGAUGCUUCUCAUUGCAGGAACCAUGUGGAAGGGAUAUAAAUAUCCCCCAGGAGGGACUCCAGUGGAAGUAAGCAAGGAUGAUCCUGGUGAAGUAAUGCAGCUGUGAAGCUCACCUGACCAGCUGUACAGUUCCUGUUCCACCUAAAUUAAUGAGUAAGAAUGCUCAGCAUCCAAUCCAUGAAUACAGAAUUUAUUCUACUUUGUACUUCAAAGUCACAGGAUGACAUCCAUAUGAUAGUUAUAAAUUCUACUCUACAUUUUCAAGUUCUCAAUCCAUAGAUUAGGACAAGUCACUUUAUUGCUGGCAACAUUCAUGGAAGGUCCAGGUUUCUCAUAAAAAGACUAAGUUUGAUUGGGAGCAGGGCAGUGCCCUACUCACAGAUCAGCAGAAGAAUUACAGAAAUCAAGAGACAACCUUUUUUUUCCUUUCAAAGUAGCAAAGGAACAAUAAAAGAUUGGCUGACUGGUGAGUGGCCCCACAUUAGAGUGCAUAGCUCAUCAGGAUCAAGGCUGGCAUCUGUGAACAGUUAACUUCAUAAGAGCACAAGUGGGCAUUAUAUCAUCUGCAUUACAGAUUUCACCCUGGAAAAUAUCUGAAAAUAUUUUAUGCUCAAAUGACAGCCUGCAAAUGACAGUAUGCAUUCCUUCUCCUUGAGUACCCAAGUAUAAAUCUAAAAUGAUAAGGGGGCUUCUUCAGUCUGAAGGCAGGAAAUCCUUGCAGCAGAGCAGCUCUAGAAUUUCACAAAAAUAAAAGCAGCAGCUAACGCCUCUUCAGCUUCUUGGCCCUUCGACGUUGCAUUUCUUCUUCUUCACGUCUCAUUUCCUCUAAGUCCUCUUGCAUACCCAGUCUUAAGCU